rnacentral:rRNA from 1 species
UACGUAGGGUGCAAGCGUUUAAUCGGAAUUACUGGGCGUAAAGCGUGCGCAGGCGGUUUUGUAAGUCAGAUGUGAAAUCCCCGGGCUUAACCUGGGAACUGCGUUUGAAACUACAAGGCUAGAGUGUGACAGAGGGGGGUGGAAUUCCACGUGUAGCAGUGAAAUGCGUAGAGAUGUGGAGGAACACCGAUGGCGAAGGCAGCCCCCUGGGUUAACACUGACGCUCAGGCACGAAAGCGUGGGGAGCAAACAGG